CACGUAGGGGGGCAAGCGUUGUCCGGAUUUAUUGGGCGUAAAGAGCUCGUAGGUGGUUCGGUAAGUCGGGUGUUAAACCCCCAGGCUCAACCUGGGGACGCCACUCGAUACUGCUGUGACUAGAGUCCGGUAGGGGAGCGUGGAAUUCCUGGUGUGGCGGUGAAAUGCGCAGAUAUCAGGAGGAACACCAGCGGCGAAGGCGGCGCUCUGGGCCGGUACUGACACUGAGGGAGCGAAAGCGUGGGUAGCAAACAGG
rnacentral:rRNA from 1 species